GUUUUCUUACAACCCAUUCUCGCUUAUCGCUUAUUCAUAGUUUAUCACUAUGAAAUCACGUUCAAGAAGUCUCAUUCAGCACACAUCGCGAUACUUGCCAUCAGUUUACAUGUGCCACAGGUUCGCUGAAAAGAUGUAAAGGAAGCAGUCAUCCCUGUGGUGUUUCUGGAGAGGUAUUCCUUCAGAAAUGGAGAAGACAGAAAGCUGCGGAGGCAGACAUUUGCAGCACCCAAGUGUUCGAGUGAGCAUGGUGACCAAAAGUGUGUGUCGAACUUUUCAUGACCUGAUGACUGUGUUUCCCAAUCCUGGUCCUGGAGAGCCCCAACACUGCACGGUUUUGGUGUCUCUCUUAUCUGACAAACACACUUUUGAGGUCUUGGAGUCUUCACUGAUGAGCUGAUGAGUUGAAUCAGAUGUGUUUGAUCAGGGAGACAUCUCAAAUGUGCAGUGUUGGGGUUCUCCAGGACCAGGAUUGGGAACCACUG